UCCCAUAGCGGGAUUCGAACCCGGAUAAGCCAACUUGCCGGGCGAGCACUUUACCACUUUGCCACAAUGGA